AGUGAACGCUGGCGGUAGGCCUAACACAUGCAAGUCGAACGGCAGCACAGUAAGAGCUUGCUCUUACGGGUGGCGAGUGGCGGACGGGUGAGGAAUACAUCGGAAUCUACUUUUUCGGGGGGGAUAACGUAGGGAAACUUACGCUAAUACCGCAUACGACCUACGGGUGAAAGCAGGGGAUCUUCGGACCUUGCGCGAUUGAAUGAGCCGAUGUCGGAUUAGCUAGUUGGCGGGGUAAAGGCCCACCAAGGCGACGAUCCGUAGCUGGUCUGAGAGGAUGAUCAGCCACACUGGAACGGAGACACGGUCCAGACUCCUACGGGAGGCAGCAGUGGGGAAUAUUGGACAAUGGGCGCAAGCCUGAUCCAGCCAUACCGCGUGGGUGAAGAAGGCCUUCGGGUUGUAAAGCCCUUUUGUUGGGAAAGAAAAGCAGCAGGUUAAUACCCCGCGGUUCUGACGGUACCCAAAGAAUAAGCACCGGCUAACUUCGUG
rnacentral:rRNA from 1 species